rnacentral:rRNA from 1 species
UACGUAGGGUGCGAGCGUUGUCCGGAAUUAUUGGGCGUAAAGAGCUCGUAGGCGGUGUGUCGCGUCGGCCGUGAAAACCUGGGGCUUAACUCUGGGCGUGCGGUCGAUACGGGCAUCACUAGAGUUCGGCAGGGGAGACUGGAAUUCCUGGUGUAGCGGUGAAAUGCGCAGAUAUCAGGAGGAACACCGGUGGCGAAGGCGGGUCUCUGGGCCGUAACUGACGCUGAGGAGCGAAAGUAUGGGGAGCGAACAGG